CAAGCAUAGGCUGCUGAAGAGAGGGAGAGGUCAUGCAAGACCAGAGAAUGGGAGAGGGCAAAGGCCCAGUAGCCAUCAUCUAGUUGAUAACAAGAACUGUGCCUAGCCUUGCAAGUCCGAUAAGGCCACAGCUGUGCCUCUGUCACUCCACCCGCCUUCUCUAUGCCUAACUGCAUGCGGCCUAGUUCUCGUGUCAAGGGCCUGAGCCAUGACCAGAAGAUGUCAGGGAAAAGAAAAAGAAGUUUGUAGCCUUGUUUCUAUGAACUUGUUCUCAUCCAGGGACAGCUACUACCCUAGCUGCUGUGCUUCCCUCCUUGGCACACAGGGUCAAAACUUUGCAGAAUCGGAAAGAGGACUAUAUUACUAUGAUUCUUCUGUGGCUCAUAAAGAUUCAGCUGCUAUAAAUCAAAGAAAUGAUGACAUUACUGAAGAGAGAGGGAGCCGCAUGUAGCCUUUUUUUUUUUUUUUUUUUUUUUUUGACCUCUUUGCAAGAAUGUCAAGACUAGAACUUAAUGAAAUGAAAUCUGUUUUGAGUGAAUCUGAAUGGGCCUACCUCUGGAGCACUGUUCUGGGGAAACGAUUUCAGCUGACCUCUGAGAAGAUUCACACCUAGGUCUCCAGUGUCAGAAGCCAAUACAGACUGCAUUCGCUAACUGGAGACCUUCUCAUCACUUCUUUUCUUAAAGCCAACUUCUGUCUCUGGAAUUGCUUGAAGUGAAAAUGUUUUAGAGACAGAAAGAGAUAUAAACAAAUAAAGAGUCCAUGAUCACUAUGACUUUCCA
rnacentral:lncRNA from 1 species